rnacentral:rRNA from 1 species
GAGUUUGAUCGUGGCUCAGAGCGAACGCUGGCGGCAGGCUUAACACAUGCAAGUCGAACGAUCCUUCGGGAUAGUGGCGGACGGGUGAGGAACACGUACGCAACCUCCCUCAAACCGGGGCACAACCUUGAGAAAUCAGGGCUAAUUCCCCAUAACAUUGCGAAAGGGCAUCUGAUUGCAAUUAAAGAUUUAUCAGUUUGAGAUAGGCGUGCGUCUGAUUAGGUAGUUGGUGAGGUAACGGCUCACCAAGCCAACGAUCAGUAGCUGGUGUGAGAGCACGACCAGCCACACGGGCACUGAGAUACGGGCCCGACUCCUACGGGAGGCAGCAGUAAGGAAUAUUGGUCAAUGGGCGAAAGCCUGAACCAGCCAUGCCGCGUGAGGGAUGAAGGUCCUCUGGAUUGUAAACCUCUUUUAUCUGUGAAUAAACGUUCCGUUUCUACGGAAUUUGAAGGUAAUAGAUGAAUAAGCACCGGCUAACUCCGUGCCAGCAG